GGGCAGAUGAUGAUAUUCAAUGAAUUUGUGCUUAUCAAACCAUGAAGCUAUUAAAUUCGAGCUUUUUAAAACUGAUGCCCU
rnacentral:snoRNA from 1 species